rnacentral:rRNA from 1 species
ACUUUCAACAACGGAUCUCUUGGUUCUGGCAUCGAUGAAGAACGCAGCAAAAUGCGAUAAGUAAUGUGAAUUGCAGAAUUCAGUGAAUCAUCGAAUCUUUGAACGCACAUUGCGCCUGCCAGUAUUCUGGCGGGCAUGCCUGUUCGAGCGUCAUUUCAACCCUCAAGCACAGCUUGGUGUUGGGACUCGCGUUAAUUCGCGUUCCCCAAAUUGAUUGGCGGUCACGUCGAGCUUCCAUAGCGUAGUAGUAAAACCCUCGUUACUGGUAAUCGUCGCGGCCACGCCGUUAAACCCCAACUUCUGAAUGUUGACCUCGGAUCAGGUAGGAAUACCCGCUGAACUUAAGCAUAUCAAUAAGCGGAGGAAAAGAAACCAACAGGGAUUGCCCUAGUAACGGCGAGUGAAGCGGCAACAGCUCAAAUUUGAAAUCUGGCUCUCGGGCCCGAGUUGUAAUUUGUAGAGGAUACUUUUGAUGCGGUGCCUUCCGAGUUCCCUGGAACGGGACGCCAUAGAGGGUGAGAGCCCCGUCUGGUUGGAUGCCAAAUCUCUGUAAAGUUCCUUCAACGAGUCGAGUAGUUUGGGAAUGCUGCUCUAAAUGGGAGGUAUAUGUCUUCUAAAGCUAAAUACCGGCCAGAGACCGAUAGCGCACAAGUAGAGUGAUCGAAAGAUGAAAAGCACUUUGAAAAGAGAGUUAAAAAGUACGUGAAAUUGUUGAAAGGGAAGCGUUUAUGACCAGACUUGGGCUUGGUUAAUCAUCUGGGGUUCUCCCCAGUGCACUUUUCCAGUCCAGGCCAGCAUCAGUUUUCCCCGGGGGAUAAAGGCGGCGGGAAUGUGGCUCUCUUCGGGGAGUGUUAUAGCCCACCGUGUAAUACCCUGGGGGGGACUGAGGUUCGCGCAUCUGCAAGGAUGCUGGCGUAAUGGUCAUCAACGACCCGUCUUGAAACACGGACCAAGGAGUCGUCUUCGUAUGCGAGUGUUCGGGUGUCAAACCCCUACGCGUAAUGAAAGUGAACGCAGGUGAGAGCUUCGGCGCAUCAUCGACCGAUCCUGAUGUUCUCGGAUGGAUUUGAGUAAGAGCAUACGGGGCCGGACCCGAAAGAAGGUGAACUAUGCCUGUAUAGGGUGAAGCCAGAGGAAACUCUGGUGGAGGCUCGCAGCGGUUCUGACGUGCAAAUCGAUCGUCAAAUAUGGGCAUGGGGGCGAAAGACUAAUCGAACCUUCUAGUAGCUGGUUUCCGCCGAAGUUUCCCUCAGGAUAGCAGUGUUGAACUCAGUUUUAUGAGGUAAAGCGAAUGAUUAGGGACUCGGGGGCGCUAUUUAGCCUUCAUCCAUUCUCAAACUUUAAAUAUGUAAGAAGCUCUUGUUGCUUAAUUGAACGUGAGCAUUCGAAUGUAUCAACACUAGUGGGCCAUUUUUGGUAAGCAGAACUGGCGAUGCGGGAUGAACCGAACGCGAGGUUAAGGUGCCAGAGUAGACGCUCAUCAGACACCACAAAAGGUGUUAGUACAUCUUGACAGCAGGACGGUGGCCAUGGAAGUCGGAAUCCGCUAAGGACUGUGUAACAACUCACCUGCCGAAUGUACUAGCCCUGAAAAUGGAUGGCGCUCAAGCGUCUCACCCAUACCUCGCCCUCAGGGUAGAAACGAUGCCCUGAGGAGUAGGCGGACGUGGAGGUCAGUGACGAAGCCUAGGGCGUGAGCCCGGGUUGAACGGCCUCUAGUGCAGAUCUUGGUGGUAGUAGCAAAUACUUCAAUGAGAACUUGAAGGACCGAAGUGGGGAAAGGUUCCAUGUGAACAGCGGUUGGACAUGGGUUAGUCGAUCCUAAGCCAUAGGGAAGUUCCGUUUCAAAGGUGCACUUUGCACCGUCUGGCGAAAGGGAAGCCGGUCAAUAUUCCGGCACCUGGAUGUGGGUUUUGCGCGGCAACGCAACUGAACGUGGAGACGACGGCGGGGGCCCCGGGCAGAGUUCUCUUUCUUCUUAACAGUCUCUCACCCUGAAAUCGGU